UCCGCCGAGCCCGCCCCCGCACCCUCUGGUCCCAGCUCCCCGAGCCACGGUCGGCGUAGCGGCCCCCUCCCUGCAACCCGGGGCUCGGCAUCCUGGGCGUUGAUCCCAGAGAGCAGUGAGAGAUGGUGCUCCGGCCUGCUCGUUCCGUUCCAAACCUCAGUCAUCGCAGCUGGAACAUGGGGGUUGUGAGUGAAGCAGCGUGAUCUCAGAGGCUCAAAGGGAUCCCAGACCCUGCCGCUGUUUCCCAGGAGCCCCAAGCUCUAGGCUGGCAGCUGUGCAGGAGACAUCACCAGGAGACCCGGGACAGGGGCCCAGGAGGAUUCGCUCACGAGGAGUACUCGACUUGGGGAAGUUCCAUGCCCAUUUGGAAGAAACGGAGGUGCAGAGUUGAGAGAUGCUGGACCUCCAGGAUGCACAAUGAGAACGGCUGUUGGAUGCCCACGGGGAUCUCUGGGCAGCCAUGAAAUGCUCUACUCUCUUCUCUUUUCCUUGCUGUCCCCGGGGCUGGAGGAGCACAGGCCUCCCAGUCACGGGGCCUUGGCCUUGUUGGACUCCCAUCUCCUUCCAAAGGUUGAGCCUGGGGAGCCCAGAAGUGAGAGGCGCCGGACUUGCUACUGCCGAUGUGGAAACAGGGGCAGCUGCAGCCCGGGUGGCUCCAGGUCGGGCGCCCCGACCCUGCCCAGAGGGGCCUAAGUGGGCCCAUCACCCCAGGCCCCGACCCAGGGCAGUGGAUGGCCCGAGUUAACCCCCCACUGCAGGCCCCCAUCCUUCCUGUCCCCAACAGCUUCCGCCAAGAGGAAGGGGCCAGGCAGGGCUAUCACUCAAGGCUGAGCAGGUGGUCCCGGAGGUCAGAGGUCCAAGGGUGGGAGCUCUGGUCUCAGCUCUGUCCUUUGCUCACUGAGUGCCUUUGGCCAUCCCUGACCUGAUCCAGGCCUUGAUUUCCUCUUUUCUGUGGUGAUCAAGGCACCCAUCAUCUAAAAUCCCUCACCCAUUUCUGCCCCAGUUCUGACCUCCCUUGAUUUUUCCAUCCCAACAGCCUCAGCUUUGGGGACAGGGUGAGCACUGAGGCUGGGACCCUCAGAGGGGGGCUUGGCAUAGGUCUUGACAGAGAGGGGCUUGGAGAGACUGGGGAGAGGGAAAGGCACGCCAGGUGGGGGAACCAGACUUAGAAGAAGGCAUGGAGGUGGGAAGGCCGGGACUGGGUUUGGGAGAUGGAGUGUUGAUGGGACAGACGGAGAGUGGUAGGCGACAAGGUUGAUCUGGAAGGAUUCAAAGCAGGAGAAAAAUUUUAGGAUCCUCUUUAUUCCUCAAAAUGUUAGGAAAGUGUCUGAUACCCCCUCACAUUCUUCCUCAGAAGAAAGGCAAUGGGGGUGGGGGGCAGGGCCAGCCCUUCCCAUCCAUUCACCAAGGAGAUGGGUGCCCAUGUGCUGUGGUGCAAGGGCCUCAGGAGGGAUCUGAACCUUUCUCCAGGUGUCAGGUGCCUGGAGUUCCACCAUCAGGGCCAGGCCUUAGGAUUUGGCAUUGCCCUGUUCCCAAACAUGUUUUGUUUUGUUUUUAAGCUGCUAUUGCAAGAAGGGGAGGGGAGAUGACUUGGCUUCUUGUUGAGUUUGUGGACAGCAUCUGACCUCUGGAAGAAGAGUUUCUUUGCAGGAAGGCCAAGGCCUGAGCCCCCUGGGGACUGACCAGUCCACGGACCCAGUUCAGCCACACGCUUGGCCCAGGAGGUUCUGAGGUGCCCACUUCACAAGUGGCUCCUCCUAAAUCUCUAGGCCUACCCAUCAUGGACAGCCAAGGGCUGGUUCCAGCCAAAGAGGCCGUGAGGAUCCCAAGACCCUGAGGCCCAGCCUGAGGGGCCAUCAGGCCAGCCUGGCCCCCACCGCCCUGUCCCCUGCCUUGGUGCCUUGGGUCAGCCUAAGUGCUGAGUUGGCGGCUCAGCAGCUACUUCUGCCCACGGAGGCCCAGUUAUAAAUAAGCCCGAUGUGGCCAAGUCAUCAAGUUCUGUCCCAGCUGCAUUACCUCAGUGACCACAGGUUGGGGCUGCCCAGAACCAGGCCCACCAGAACCUGCCUGCCCAGGCCAAAGGCUGGGCCAGCCUUGAUGCCUGCAGGGGUCCUCAAAUCCAGGGUUGGGGUGUCUGCAGCCACUCAGACCUGGACCGCCCUGGACACAGGCCACAGAGGGGCAGGGCCCAUCCCGCCUGCCCGGAGCCAGCUGCUAUUUACAAACCGAAACCGGGAGAAGUGAAGCGGCUGUGGCCAAAGUGGCUCCAGGCCCCCAGCCCCCAGUCCCGCUCCAUCCCCGGCAGGCCCAUCCCCCCUCCUCAUGGCUUCCUCUUUCCUUCCCCACACAGCUCCCCGACCUCCCACUGCCCGGCCAGGUCUCUCUGGACAACCUGCCAAUACUUCAUGGUGACCCCCGGCCCCAUGACCACUUGCCUGGGGGGGAUCCCCUUCUACUACUCACCCCCAAGACCCCAUCAGUCUGGGCUCCUUGGAGCAGCCUCCUCCCACCCGGGCCCAGCCCACCGUGGCCUGCCCAAAGCACAUUCCCACAGUUCUCAGUUCCCCUUCGUGGCUGGAAAAGCUCCAGCACCAAUGGCCACCAUGGCGCUGCCCGGCCCUGCCUGAGGGUAGCUUCUCCAGGGGACCUUGACCUUCAAGGGGGGCGCCAAGUAAUCUGGGGAGCUGUGGUGGAACUUAGGGCACCUGGGGCCUUAAGGGGUCAUGUUUCUGGGCAGGAGGCCCCAGCCAUCACUCUCUUUGAGUUUGGUUUCGGCCCAAUCAUCCAGCUGGCGUGGGUCACAGGCCCUUGUGCAGGUCAGAAUUGAGCUGGGACAGUCGGACACUGGGCCCGAGACCAUGGCACACUCUGCUUAGGAAGUGGCAGGCAGGAUGGUGCCGUAGCAGGGGCCUGUUCCAGGGAGAGACAACAGACAACAUAAGUAAUACUCACUUCUAAUAAUAGACGAACUCCCUCAUGACGGUGCAGAGGAUGUCAGUUCUUUCUGUCCCCCGAACAAGCCUGUCCCAUUAUCUCCAUCAUAAAUGGACAUGGGCUCACAGGGGAAGUCACGUGUCCCAGGCUACACAGCUAGAAAGUGUCUGGACUGAGAUUCAAGAUUUCCUGACAUCCAGUCCCCUUCUGUCUCCGUCUGACUGCCCCUUGCUCCAUCUUGUCCCUCAGUCUCCUGCCCGGGAGGACAGGAGUUUCCCAGCGCUGUGACAAGGCAGGAGCGGGGCUGGCCAGAAGCUUGAGGGGGAAGCAGGCCUUGGACACCAGAUGGGGUUCGUCAGUGCCCAGUGCCGCCUUCCCUGCCCCAUUCCUUGCCUCCCACUAAGUCCCAGCUGAGGCAGAGCCCUAGCCCCCCUCAGCCAGUCAGCUGGCUGCCUUUCACCUAACUUCUCUGAGCCUCAGAAUCCUCUUCUGUGAAUUGUCAUUCCACAAACACAGAGCACCUACUCGAUGCCAGCCCUAGGCUGGGUGCAAGCAAUCUCUAGGACUAGGGCAUGGCCCCUGUUCACAGUCUUGUGGAGAACGCAGAUGAGUUACAAGAUCCUGAGUACUCCAAGAGGGAAACUGCAGCUGUGAGACACCAAGAACAAGUGAUGAGUGCUUCCUGGGGUGAGAGGGUGCCAUUGGGGUGAUAGGAAAGCGUUCCCCAACAAAAGCCGGGGGACUGGCUCUCCAUGCUGAGUCACAGCCCUGUGCCUUGGCUCUGGUAGUUACCACGGUCCGAGUCAAGUGCCCUUCCUCCCUCUGGGCCCGGUAAACUCCUAUCCGUCUGUCAGGACCCAUGGACACACGACAGCAUGACCAGGCCUGGCCUGGCCUGAUGGCUCCCCACCUCCCUCUUCCCACGCAGGACCUGAGCACACCCGGAGGUCAGGCCUCCUCAGUCACUAUGCCCUCACCAGCCCCACCCAGGCAGGCAUCUGCUCCCGGGCUCAAGCCCCCACCGUCCUCUGCUCCGAAAAGCACCGUUUCCCUUUUCUGGGUGACCACACGCCAUACACAGGGAAUUUCCAUCUCAGCCUGUGGAGCCUCUGAUUCACUCAGGCUCACUCAGGACUCCUUCCGGGUCCGUGCCUCCUACUUCUGCACCUUGGGCUGCCCCUCACACCCACCCGGGACCCCUAGGCAGCUUCAAACUAAUCUUGGCCUCCACAACCGGGAAAUCAAGUCAGCCCCUCACUCACUGGCCCGCUCAGGGCCCUCCCACUGCCAUCCUGUGCGCAGAGACCCCUGCUCCUGGCACACACGCUGGGGCAGCUUUGGGCUGAGAGCACAGGCUUUGGGGUAAGAUAAGCCUGGUCCAACCCUGAUUUUGGCCCUUUCUGCUUUGUGACCUGGAGCAGUUUAAGUAUAUGCUCUGAGCCCUAUUUCUUAUCUAUAAAAUUGAGGUGAUUCCUGUCCCAUAGCUUUGUUGUAAAGAUCCAGUGUGCUGGGCCCAUGAUGGGAGCUCAAUAAUGAUUACUUUUCCUUCUUUGAAAAGGCCCCCUCAUUAUAUCACAAGGUCCCUACUCCAGCCAGACCUGGGCCCCCUUUCUCUGGCUGGCUUUCCCCUCCCGAGAGCUGGUUGCUCAGGCAGGGAGAAGGAGAGAAGUAUGGGCAGAGCAAAGGAGGGCGAGAUGCUGCUGUCUCAAGGCUCUCCUCUGCCAGCUUCUCGACUCCUCACAUUUCUCAGUUUUUCCAAGGAGGCUUUGGAGAGCCCAGGAGGCAGGAGCUCCAAGGAGCUGAGGGCUGCAGAGCUCCUGAGCUCUCGGGGACAGGGUCGAGCCUUCCUCCUCCCGAGGGAUGCCGGGUGUGCACGUCACACACGAACAUCUCACGUGUGGGCUCCUCUAAUUCUUACGGCCCGGUGAGGUGCAUCCUGUUAUUGCCCCCAUUUUACAGAUGAGGACACCGAGGCUCUGAGAAGUGACUUGCCCUCAGCCACGCAGCAAACAAAGGGCAGGGGUAGGAUCUGAAUCAAGGUCUCUGGAGCCAUACUCCUAAACUCCACAAGGCUCAGUAAGCAUUUGUGGAGGCCGAUGAGGGAAACAUGGACUAACUGAAACCCUACUGUAUACAAAGGGAAGGCUCACACAGAUUGUCUCUUUCUGCCCUCUGUACAAUGCUGCGGUCUGGGUCUUGUUGGCCCCUCUACAGAACUGAGGCAUCUGAGCUUCGGGGAGGGGAAGGAGCUUGCCCAGAGGCCACACAGCCAAUCGUAAGGAAGGAUCCAGGGGUACCUAGAUAGAAGAGGACGGUGUCAGGGGCUUCACAGAAGAGGGGGCCUGGAGGGGGAAAGUGGCUCCUGUCCUCAGUGAGUGAGCCGGGAGUGGGGGGGUGAUGCCCGUGGUGAGCAGGAGGAAGUCGCUGUGGGUGGCGGUGGGUUUGAGGUGCCGGAGGCUGAGUGAUGUGGCCGGGAGGUGAGCUCCCCGUCUGCAGGUCUGGUCAGCAGGAGACAAGGGUCUGGUGCGGGGGGGCGGCAAUGGGAUUCGGGGCACGCAGGAGGUCAGGCCGUUCUGGAAAUCUGUGCCUACUGGCCACUGGGGCUGGGGAGCAGGGGGCAGGAGCUGGCGCAGAGUGCAAGGAGGGACUCAGCAAGGCUGGGGAGAGAUGGAGGUGAACAGGGAAGGGAGGAUCUGGGGGGACAGCCUGGAGGAGGCGAGCCGUCAAAAAUGGAGGGAGGUCUUAGGGUGUGGGAGCGGGUGGGACUGUGAGCAAAGGCCGUGAGACAUUGAGAAAGAGGUUCUGGGAAUGUUGAGUAGUGUCUUCUGGCUGGAGGUGGGGGUGGGGCUGGUCCACUUGGGGUGGCGGAGGGUGGAAAUGCUGGCCGGACUCCUGGGUGCUGGGGGCUCCAGCACAGCCCUCAGAGCUUUGGACUUCAGCCUGUGAACAAGCCAGAGCCAAGGGCAAUUUUUAGGUGGGGAAACACCCAUGGGAGAAUCUCGAGAUAGAGGCAGCAGCGGAAGCCCAUGUCCCAGGGCCACUCAGAGUGGCAGUUACCUCCCACCCCCUGGCCAGCUGUGUGUGUCCUUGGGCAGCCCCCUCUCCAGCUGAGCCACGUGACCCUUGCCAUUAAAAUGGCACUGAUGGUAAAUUCACAGGGUCAUGGGAGGUGGGGUGAGUUAAUGCUGGUUGACUGCAUCACCUCAGCCGAUGCUGGGCCUUUCGCCUUGCCUCGUCCUGGCUCGCGGCACUUGGUGAGAGCCUGCGGUGGAUACCACCGGGGUCUCCAGCAGACCUGGUUUAAGCCUCGCCUGUCCCUCGAUUGGCUGAAUCAUGGGCCCCUUCCGAUCCUCGGUUUCCUCAACUGUACCACAGGGAUGAUAACGGCCCCAACUUCAGAUCUGAAUAAGAAAAUGAACUCUGCAGUGGUGGUCCUGUUUUCCCGGAAUCAAAACCAAAUUCCACACAUCACACAACAUCCCCCAGUGCCCUACCUGACCAGACCCUCUCCUCCCUCACCUCCUACCACUGGCUCUUUUCACACUGGCCCCUUGCUGGUCCCCAUGCCUGGAGCUCUUCUCCCAGGUGUCUGCUUGGCUGGCUCCUUCACUUGUUCCCAGGGUUUGUUCAGGUGUCCCCUUCUCCGUGAGGCCUGCCCUUCCCGCCCUCUUCACUCUGCACACGGCCCCCCCUUCCCCAGCUGGGUCAUCCUCUUUCGUAUAGCGUUUGCCGCCUUCUCACCUACUCUGCAUAUCCCCUGCCUUCCCUGCUCCAGAACAAGCCCCAGGAGGACAGGGAUUUUUGUCUGUUUUGUCACCUGGCCCGUAGAGGCCCUGAGCAAAUAUUUGUUGGAUGUCCUAAUGCACUAAAGAGCCAGCACUCUGACCAGAGCUCGGGGAGCUCGGAGGGGCCCAAGGAGCCUCUCCCAGUGUCUCAACUGUGAGAGGAAGUUGCAAGACGGCCAUUUCUGUACACGGGCUCAGCUUUUUUUGGUCAACUUGCCCAGCUCGUGCUCUGAGGCCUGAGUUUUCCCACACGCCCCGUCAAGCCCCAUGGGGACUGGUGGCUAGGAAGCGGGGGUGAGGGGAAUGCUGUUCCCUCCUUUUAGAGCUCUUUGGGCUGAGGUUGAGGGGUCUGUGUGUUGAGGGGUCAUGUCCCCCAUGUGAACACAGCUUCGAGGACACAGUGCCCAUGUUUCCUGUUGCCCAUCUACCCUGUGACUGCAAUAGCACCCAGCCUACCCCAUCAGCCACCCAGCCCAGCGGGGGCAAAGGGCACCUGGUGCUCCACCACCCAGGCCUGCCUGACCUCCCUGUCACUCUGCAGGGCCAGCCCUACAUGGGCACCCACUCGUCCAAUGGGGUGGGGAACAACACUGUCAUGCGCUGCUGGUAGGAGGGUAAAGUCGAUACAACUUUUAUCCAGGGCAACGUGACAAUAUCUCUAUAUUUAUCUACCUAUCUACUUAAAAGUUUCAAAUGCCGUACAGGACUUCCCUGGUGGCACAGUGGUUAAGAAUCCGCCUGUCAAUGCGGGGGACAUGGGUUCGAGCCCUGGUCCGGGAAGAUCCCACAUGCUG